rnacentral:rRNA from 1 species
UACGAAGGGUGCAAGCGUUACUCGGAAUUACUGGGCGUAAAGCGUGCGUAGGCGGUUUGUUAAGUCCGUUGUGAAAGCCCUGGGCUCAACCUGGGAAUUGCAGUGGAUACUGGCAAGCUAGAGUACGGUAGAGGAUGGUGGAAUUCCCGGUGUAGCGGUGAAAUGCGUAGAGAUCGGGAGGAACACCCGUGGCGAAGGCGGCCAUCUGGACCAGUACUGACGCUGAGACACGAAAGCGUGGGUAGCAAACAGG